GUUGCUUUGGCCGAGUGGUUAAGGCGUGUGCCUGCUAAGUAUAUGGGGUUUCUCCGCGAGAGUUUGAAUCUCUCAGGCAACG
rnacentral:tRNA from 1 species